CGAGGUGUAGCGCAGUUGGUAGCGCGCCUGCUUUGGGAGCAGGAUGUCGCAGGUUCGAGUCCUGUCACCUCGACCA
rnacentral:tRNA from 3 species